rnacentral:misc_RNA from 1 species
GAAAUGCGAUAAGUAAUGUGAAUUGCAGAAUUCCGUGAAUCAUCGAAUCUUUGAACGCACAUUGCGCCCUCUGGCAUUCCGGGGAGCAUGCCUGUCCGAGCGUCAUUACGCACCCUCAAGCCCGGCUUGUGUGAUGGGCCCCGGCGUCUCGUUCGCGAGACGGGCCCGAAAGGCAGCGGCGGCGUCGACCCGAUGAGCCCGAGCGUAUGGGGACUUCUGUCACACGUUCGCGGUGCGGACCGGCGCCUGCUUGACUUUUCUGAUUAUCCAGGUUGACCUCGGAUCAGGUAGGGAUACCCGCUGAACUUAAGC